AUUGAACGCUGGCGGCAUGCCUUACACAUGCAAGUCGAACGGCAGCGCGGGUGCUUGCACCUGGUGGCGAGUGGCGAACGGGUGAGUAAUACAUCGGAACAUGUCCUGUAGUGGGGGAUAGCCCGGCGAAAGCCGGAUUAAUACCGCAUACGAUCUACGGAUGAAAGCGGGGGACCUUCGGGCCUCGCGCUAUAGGGUUGGCCGAUAGCUGAUUAGCUAGUUGGUGGGGUAAAGGCCUACCAAGGCGACGAUCAGUAGCUGGUCUGAGAGGACGACCAGCCACACUGGGACUGAGACACGGCCCAGACUCCUACGGGAGGCAGCAGUGGGGAAUUUUGGACAAUGGGCGAAAGCCUGAUCCAGCAAUGCCGCGUGUGUGAAGAAGGCCUUCGGGUUGUAAAGCACUUUUGUCCGGAAAGAAAUCCUUGGCUCUAAUACAGUCGGGGGAUGACGGUACCGGAAGAAUAAGCACCGGCUAACUACGUG
rnacentral:rRNA from 1 species